GAAGUAGUGGCGUGGCCUCUCUACUAUCUCCAACAGCAGCGCAAUUCAACAGCAUCCUAAAAUUCUUUAGCUGUCUGCUUUAAGGCCUGCUUCUACUUUCUACCAUAACUCACGUUCUUUCAUUAACUGCUAAGGUGCAAUGCAUAUUUUGUAAACAUCCCAGAUGAAUAAGGUAGCACUCUGCAUCUGGAAUCUGGAUCAUUUCCCUAUAUUUAUCAGAGUUUGUGGAAUGGGGAUUAUUGAUAUCUUGCUGCGCUGUCAUGAAUUUUGGUUAACUGCAAGGCCUGGUGUUCUAGUAGGUGCCAUUGAAAGCAGGCCUUCUGGCUCCUCUGCAGCUGGGCUUGAAGAGUGCGAGUUUUGUGAUUGAAAAUAAAUUGGGAGAAGCCUCU
rnacentral:misc_RNA from 1 species